AUUGAACGCUGGCGGCAGGCCUAACACAUGCAAGUCGAGCGGAUGAAGGGAGCUUGCUCCUGGAUUCAGCGGCGGACGGGUGAGUAAUGCCUAGGAAUCUGCCUGGUAGUGGGGGAUAACGUCCGUAAACGGGCGCUAAUACCGCAUACGUCCAGAGGGUGAAAGUGGGGGAUCUUCGGACCUCACGCUAUCAGAUGAGCCUAGGUCGGAUUAGCUAGUUGGUGGGGUAAAGGCCUACCAAGGCGACGAUCCGUAACUGGUCUGAGAGGAUGAUCAGUCACACUGGAACUGAGACACGGUCCAGACUCCUACGGGAGGCAGCAGUGGGGAAUAUUGGACAAUGGGCGAAAGCCUGAUCCAGCCAUGCCGCGUGUGUGAAGAAGGUCUUCGGAUUGUAAAGCACUUUAAGUUGGGAGGAAGGGCAGUAAGUUAAUACCUUGCUGUUUUGACGUUACCAACAGAAUAAGCACCGGCUAACUUCGUG
rnacentral:rRNA from 1 species